UUUCCGUAGGUGAACCUGCGGAAGGAUCAUUACUGAGUGAGGGCCCCUCGGGGUCCAACCUCCCACCCGUGUUUAGCGAACCUUGUUGCUUCGGCGGGCCCGCCUCACGGCCGCCGGGGGGCAUCUGCCCCCGGGCCCGCGCCCGCCGAAGCCACCUGUGAACGCUGUCUGAAGUAUGCAGUCUGAGACAAUUAUUAAAUUAAUUGAAACUUUCAACAACGGAUCUCUUGGUUCCGGCUCGAUGAAGAACGCAGC
rnacentral:misc_RNA from 1 species